AUAAUGGAGAGGUUUGUGCUUGUUGGGAUUUUGUGUGCCCAUGUGAUGGUGGCCUUAAGGCCUACUAUAUCGGACGCUCUGAAAAUGUUGGAAGGAGACAUUGAAGUUCCGCCUGUUCCUGAUCGGCCGAUGCCUCUUAGCCAUCCUUCAUCUUUUGGUGAUGGCUUCACCAUCUCCCCAGCACUGAGUUUUCCACAAUUGAAUAGUGGAGACAUGCUCAGGUAAGCAUUGCCUAAAUGGAUGUAGGAAAGUGGAGCAAUAUUUAUAUACAAAUCAU
rnacentral:misc_RNA from 1 species